UACGAAGGGUGCAAACGUUGCUCGGAAUUAUUGGGCGUAAAGCGCACGUAGGCGGCUUUGUAAGUCGGAUGUGAAAUCCCUCGGCUUAACCAAGGAAGUGCAUCCGAAACUACAGAGCUUGAGUACUUAAGAGGAUCGCGGAAUUCCCGGUGUAGAGGUGAAAUUCGUAGAUAUCGGGAGGAACACCUGUGGCGAAAGCGGCUCACUGGACCAUUACUGACGCUGAUGCUCGAAAGCUAGGGGAGCAAACAGG
rnacentral:rRNA from 1 species